CCGCCCGCGUCCGGGAGCCGGCGGCCAGGGGACCCGCUGCCAAGGAGAGGGCGGCGGCGGGGCCGGGAACGCGCGGCCCGGCCUGGCUGAGGAACCAGCAGGCCCCCACAGGCCCUCGUACAGUGCCUCCAGGGACUUAAACCUGCCGCAGCCAUGUGAUUACCCUGAUCUAUUUGCUGGGAGAUGAGCAAAGCUCGGAGAGGGACCAGAUCUCAGCAGAGACCAAACCAGCAGCAGUUCCUGAACACCCACCCCCCAGUGCUUCCAGAAGUGCACCAUGGACCAACCUGUGAGCAUUUGCUCUUCCUCAGGGGCACGUUCCCUUUUCAAAGAAGAGUUCAGCAGUGCUUUCACCCAGAGGACUAACUUCUGAGAAAUAAAACAGCUGGGAGACAGAAGGAAGUAGCUGAUCAUUCUUCUAAAAGAGACCUUAAAGGAUAAAACAAAAGUGUGAAAACAGUAGAGUACAGGACCAGUACCCCCCAAGUUAUCUGCAUGACAAGAAGUUGUUGUCAGGCACCUGAAAAUGUCAAGUCCUCUGAACUGGGCAGAAAAGAUGGUGAUGAGUAAAGACAAAGUAUACGCUGGAUGAAAGCUACAUGUCCAAAAAUUGGUGUUAAAAAAGAUAAAAAACAACUUGGAGGUUAAAAAAAAGGACAAAGUGAACAUGUAAGUACUUAUAAGAUAACUAUUACAUACAAAUUAAGGAGAUAAAAGAGAGAUGGCUGGAUUAAAGCACAGAAAGCUUGAUCAAUCUAUCAAUGUAAAAGAAUCAAGUAUUUUUAUCUUUGUAUCCACAAGAAUAAUAAUGAAAUUAUGGCUUUUAAUCAAACUCAGUUAUGUUUAGAGGUGAGAAAAAGAACAAUCAUUGUUUAUCUCAAUUCACUUAGAUUAAAAGAAAAAGAUACUUGUUCAGAAAAAGAAAAAAAAAAAAAGAGGAAAUUUUCAUUCCUGAUAGGCAGUAAGCUAGGGUUCAAAGUAUGUCCAGUGUCAUAAGAGAAAGCUGUUAUCGGAGGGAACUUCAUCAUGCUGAGGACAGCUGCCCCAAAGAGAAAUCUCAUAAUUUCCAACUUGCUGGAAAGAAGAAUCUUGAACCCCCUCUAAAUCCUUUCUCCCCGUCACUAAAAGAGCAGGCUGCUGAAGCAUUAAGAGACACUUAUUGAAUGUAUUCUAGAAGAAGGUUCUAUUCUGAGAUCCCUGGAGAACAGGCUGGACUCAAAAAAUUUCUGCUGCGCAAGUUCUCAGAGGGACAGUUCCAGCAGGAGGUCUAAGGAAAAGAGGCAGAUUUCUCCUUCUGACUCUUUAAAUAGGAUCUAAAACCAUUUAGCCCUGCUACAAAACCCACAUUUUAAGUUUUCUCACAACCAAACAUGUUCUGAAAGGUUUGCCACACUGAGCACACUCUCAACCCCAAGCUCAAAGAAAAAGGGCCCUCUGCUAAAGGGGUCCAACUGGUGUAUGUGUGGUUGGGGGGAGGGGAAAAGGGGGGACGGACACUGGAGACCUACAUUACAUUCUGCCUUAAACGGUAUUCUAAUUAGGUACUCUUGCUUACCUAGGAAUGUGUCCAGAGCAAGCCUUCCUUUCCUGGAAGGAUAAGUGUAUCUGCUAUUACAAUGAGAAGUCUGUCAAGAGUUGAAAUUCAAAGAAAGUAAUUGUUCAUUAGGUUCACAGUGCACAGAACACCAUGCCAGAAUACAGCGGCAGUUAGGACUAGAUCCGAGUUAAGGCAGGCAGCCUAUGACACUUGGAAUGGACUGAGGAACACCACCACACCCUACUCUUAUCUCCUCCUCUUCCCUUUAUUACCUUUCUUGCUCUCUUCUCAUGGCUCAGAUCUGUUGGUGGCAUCUGUAUUUUGACCCCUUAGUGAGAAGCCAUCAAGACCUCGGUAGUUAUUUGUUCUACACUCAUCUCUUCUCAGGAAAUUAAAAAAU